AGGCACACCAGUAGACCCUUUUUGACUGAUCAGUAGUCAUUAAGGGGGGACAGAGUGAUGCCAGAAAAACUGCAGAGCUGCUCACCAGAUACGACCAGAUCCAGGUUCAGUGGAUGGCCGUAACGGCGAUGCUCUCCCAUUA